AAUGAACGCUGGCGGCGCGCCUAAUACAUGCAAGUCGAGCGAGAAGACGUAGCAAUACGUUUGUAAAGCGGCGAACGGGUGAGGAAUACAUGGGUAACCUACCCUCGAGUGGGGAAUAACUAGCCGAAAGGUUAGCUAAUACCGCGUACGCUUCUUGGACUUCGGUUCAGGGAGGAAAGCGAUACCGUGGGUAUCGCGCUCUUGGAUGGGCUCAUGUCCUAUCAGCUUGUUGGUGAGGUAACGGCUCACCAAGGCUUCGACGGGUAGCUGGUCUGAGAGGACGAUCAGCCACACUGGCACUGCGACACGGGCCAGACUCCUACGGGAGGCAGCAGUAAGGAAUAUUGCGCAAUGGGCGAAAGCCUGACGCAGCGACGCCGCGUGGGGGAUGAAGGUCUUCGGAUUGUAAACCCCUUUCGGGAGGGAAGAUGGAA
rnacentral:rRNA from 1 species